GGUAUUCAGAAAUCAAUUCGUUGAGUCCAGCACAAAAAGUACCUCAUUAAAAAUGAUCAAGUCCAUCUUGUCAUUGGCUUUAAUAGUUUGUGGAAUUACAAAUCCCGUAAUUUCUCAAUAUCCUGGAUGGCUCGUUCCCAUUGGAAAUGUUGGCCCUAAAACUUACUACAAUUCGUCGGAGAGUGGACCCAAAUAGGAUUAUGCUCAAGCUAAAUUUGAAUGCCAUAAAUACAACAUGAAACUGGCAGCGAUUGAAGGAGAUGAGAUGCCAUUGAUAGAUUCAUACCUGCAAAUUGUAUAUGGUGAGCGCAAUGAAAGCGAUAUGUUUUGGACUUCAGCCCAUCUAGGGCCAGAUUUCACCCAGGAAGUGAGAUGGAGUACCACAAAUGAACCCCUUGACCCCGAUGUGCCAUUCUUGUUUCGAGGACCCAUGCCUGGCGAAUCUUCAUACGUCUGGUACGAGUGCCCCCCACUUGUCAGAUCCUGCGUCAUUGGGGAUGGGGGUGGCGAUUGUCCUGGUUGUUGUGGAUGGAAGACUCGCUUGAUCCAUUCCAUUGGAUCAAUGGCAAGCUCGAAUUGUUUAGAAAAGAGGAGAUUCAUUUGUCAGAAAUUUUACGAAAUGUAAAUUAGCUACGAGUAAUAAAUUUCAGCUUUAAUACUAAUUUUAUUUGGAUUAAUUAGGGUUGGAAUUAUAAAUUGGAAUUGGAUUAUUGAAAAUACAUACAAAUAAAAGCAGCAAUUAAAUGAAAAUCAA